rnacentral:rRNA from 1 species
UACAGAGGGUGCAAACGUGUUCGGAUUUACUGGGCGUAAAGCGCGUGUAGGCUGCUUCGCAAGUCGGAUGUGAAAGCCCUGGGCUCAACCCAGGAAGUGCAUUCGAAACUGCAGAGCUGGAGUCCUGGAGAGGAAGGCGGAAUUCUCGGUGUAGAGGUGAAAUUCGUAGAUAUCGAGAGGAACACCGGUGGCGAAGGCGGCCUUCUGGACAGUGACUGACGCUGAGACGCGAAAGCGUGGGGAGCAAACAGG